AUUCAGAGCCCCAGCCUGUUCAUAAAAAAAAUCAGAUGAAUUUUGUCUGCGGAACAUUCUGCAAAAAUAUCUGACCAUCCUAGCUACUCCGGAGGCUGAGGCAGGAGGAUCACCUGAGCCCAGGACUUUGAGGCCGCUGUAAGCUAUGAUCAUGCCACUGCACUCCAGCUCAGGCAACAGUGAGACCCGGUCUCAACAAACAAAAGAAAAUAAAAGAAUGGUAGACAAGGAAAGCAGUUGAACAGCUAUGCGAGAAGCCUACUUUCUCUUCAUGUAACACGUUGGCCUAAGAGAUCUAUAGAGCUUUUUAAAAACAAAGAAGGCAGCAAGAUUUAAAAUAAUAAAACCAGCAAUAGGUAUUUUUAAAAGUGAGAGAAACUAUCAGAGAGCUGUAGCAGAAAAGCAAGUUAAAAAUAAAGGAAACAGAAAAGGAACUGAUACAGCUGAUUUGAUACUGGAAAAAUCACCCAGGAGGCAGCGUGGACAAUGGAUUGGAGAAG
rnacentral:lncRNA from 10 species